rnacentral:rRNA from 1 species
AGAACGAACGCUGGCGGCAGGCCUAACACAUGCAAGUCGUGCGCUGUAGCAAUACAGAGCGGCGCACGGGUGAGUAACACGUGGGAACGUGCCCUAUGGUUCGGAAUAACUCAGGGAAACUUGAGCUAAUACCGGAUAAGCCCUUCGGGGGAAAGAUUUAUCGCCAUUGGAGCGGCCCGCGUUGGAUUAGCUUGUUGGUGGGGUAAAAGCCCACCAAGGCGACGAUCCAUAGCUGGUUUGAGAGAACGACCAGCCACACUGGGACUGAGACACGGCCCAGACUCCUACGGGAGGCAGCAGUGGGGAAUCUUGGACAAUGGGGGAAACCCUGAUCCAGCCAUGCCGCGUGAGUGAUGAAGGCCCUAGGGGUUGUAAAAACUCGUUUACGGCGGGUACGAGUAAUUGACGGUACCCGCGAGAAGAAGCUCCGGCUAACUUCGUGCCAGCAGCCGC